UUUAUGGUAAAAGAGAGACUUAAACUCCCCUCAGUGAGUUUACAGCUCACCGCCUAAACCCUCGGCCACUUUACCU
rnacentral:tRNA from 1 species